CGCCCCCUCUUUUUUCCCCUUCCCUGACCCCAUCAAUAUCACAAGACUGAAGGCGCAGCCUUCCCCCCUCCUCGCCACCCCGGGGAAGGGGUGCAAAGCUGAGUAUUGGAGAGAAGGGAGUUGUUUACGCGGCUAAAGAUACAGAAACAAAGAUGCAGAGAAGUGAAGGGAUUUGUCCAAGGCCACACAGCUGGUGAGUGAUGGAGCUGGAAUCUGAACCCGUCAGCUGCCUCCGGGGACCGUGCUUAUAACCACUGCUCCCGGCCUGUUCCCUGGACCCUGCUGCAGUUUUCAUCUUCCAGGGAAUGUUUUGAGAGCUGAGAUUGCUGAGCAACCAAUUAACCUGAAUUCCAAAGAAGGACAGGAACCUCCAAGAAGGAAUUGGAUGCACGCACUGGCACACGUGUGAAGCAGGAAGAAGGCAAGGUCUGCACACAAGGAGGCAAAAGAGUUCCGCCUGGGCUGGUGGCUCAGUGGAGUGGGUGCCGGCCUGCGAACCAAAAGGUUGCUGGUU